rnacentral:ncRNA from 1 species
GUGCGUCGAGGAAGGAGAGAUUGUUAGCACUCCCCUUCGUAAGGACGGAGAGGUAUCUCGAGCACACAUCGAAUCCGAUUGUCGCCUACUUCGCGUCAGUCGGAGUUUUUGC